ACCCGGCUGGCUCAGGCAGAAGAGCAUGCAACUCUUGAUCACAAGGUCAUGAGUUCGAGCCCCAUGUUGGGUG
rnacentral:tRNA from 1 species